CAUGAAACUGUUAGCAUUUUGUGCGCGUCACCAUUUGUGCAACGAGGGUUCAGUUUGUCUCGAGCCUAAUUACUACUCACGUGACUCGUCUCUUGAGCGUUGAUGGCAGUGUAAAGGCGGAGCAAGGUGCGAUUGCAGUCUGUUUGUUUGACUGUGUUCAAGCGAGCUCCAAAAUGUGAGAGCAUUCACACGCGUUGACAAGCGUGUCUUUCUUGCACUUAUAGUGUGUAAUGUAACACUACCACGACAACACACACACACACACACACACACACACACACACAGAUAUUUCCACCGAGAGUUGUGAGUCUCCUUCCCCAAACCAGAUGUCUGCCUUCGUACCGGGACAGACUUGUCAGAGGGGGCAGAGGGCCAUCCAGACAGCCGGGAAGUACAAAACAGGAGAUGUAUGCUAACUGCUAGCUUAACUAAUGAGCUACACUGCCGUUCUAAACGGUUCAAGUCAUUUUUAAUGUGAUACGUGACCUGGGAGACAUGUUAUGCAAACACUAAUCCUUGAUUCUGUUGUGAGUGGUAACCACAUGAAUAACAGAACCAUUAAAAGUGUGCGUUUAAACGUUGAAAGAUAGUAUCAAUGUUUGGCGCAGGUGCUCAGUGAGUGAGCUCAGUCAGUGUAUCAUUAUUGAUGAGUUGCUUGCUUCUUUCCGAGGUUCUUGCUGAUGGCCGUGUCAGAGGUGACGUCUUCCUCCGGCGUGAGAACAUGAUGACCUGACCGAGAAACGGAUGAGCGGGAAAUGGUGGAGAAGAACUCGCUGAGUCACUGAAGUUGAAAGGAACAUGGAAAGUGAGAGACUUAAGGAGCACAUAAAGCCCCAUCAGGAGGAGGAAAAAUAGGAGCUGAAGCAAAAUGGGGCAAUAAAAGGGCCUUGGCUGCAUCUUGAGGCAUCUGUGGCUGUUCACAAGAAUCUGUGCGUGGUCAGUAUGAUUAAUUACAGAUGAUUCCACUCACCAUGGAAUGCAUGUCACCUGUCUGAGUACAUGCAGUCAAGACGCUUCACUUGAACACCGCCGGUUGUGCAAGAAUGAGCUCAGUGUUCGGUAGUUAGUCCACGGCUGCCGGCAGCAAUAACGCUGAUCCCCAGGCAACUGUAGAGCAUGGGAAAUACACACAAUAUAACAGACUCAUUACACAUUGUAUUUAAAAAAAAAAAGAGCAUCAGCACACAGGCAGGGACUUGCC